AUGAUCCCGCUUUUCGACGACACCACCGCACACACCUCCAGAUCCACAGUCGGGCUGCCACCGCCGAGACCCCACGCUCACCAUCAACAUGCACGCAUGUCACCGACAGAUUCAAGUCCAUCCAUCGACCAGAUCCCUAUUUCCGCAACCUCCAUCUUUGACAGCAACCCAACUCGCUCCUCCGUACACCAUGUGUCAUCGAAGCCGAAUCUAAACAUGUGA